rnacentral:rRNA from 1 species
GAUGAACGCUGGCGGCGUGCUUAACACAUGCAAGUCGAACGGAAAGGCCCAAGCUUGCUUGGGUACUCGAGUGGCGAACGGGUGAGUAACACGUGGGUGAUCUGCCCUGCACUUCGGGAUAAGCCUGGGAAACUGGGUCUAAUACCGGAUAGGACGAUGGUUUGGAUGCCAUUGUGGAAAGUUUUUUCGGUGUGGGAUGAGCUCGCGGCCUAUCAGCUUGUUGGUGGGGUAAUGGCCUACCAAGGCGUCGACGGGUAGCCGGCCUGAGAGGGUGUACGGCCACAUUGGGACUGAGAUACGGCCCAGACUCCUACGGGAGGCAGCAGUGGGGAAUAUUGCACAAUGGGCGCAAGCCUGAUGCAGCGACGCCGCGUGGGGGAUGACGGCCUUCGGGUUGUAAACUCCUUUCGCUAGGGACGAAGCGUUUUGUGACGGUACCUGGUGAAGAAGCACCGGCUAACUACGUG